rnacentral:rRNA from 1 species
CUCUUCGGGGAUGAUUAAACCGGCGCACGGGUGAGUAACACGUGAGUGACCUGCCUUUUAGACUGGAACAACUUACCGAAAGGUGAGCUAAUGCCGGAUGAGUUAUAUAAGUGCAUGUUUAUAUAGGAAAAGUUGGGGAGACCUGACGCUGAAAGAUGGACUCGCGUCCCAUUAGCUAGUUGGUAGGGUAAUGGCCUACCAAGGCGACGAUGGGUAGCCGGCCUGAGAGGGUGGCCGGCCACACUGGGACUGAGACACGGCCCAGACUCCUACGGGAGGCAGCAGUGGGGAAUUUUGCGCAAUGCUCGUAAGAGUGACGCAGCGACGCCGCGUGAAUGACGAAGGCCUUCGGGUCGUAAAGUUCUUUCGACAGGGAAGAAAAUGCCUAUAAGUAACUGUGUAUGUAUUGACGGUACCUGUAUAAGCAGCCCCGGCUAACUCCGUGCCAGCAGCCGCGGUAAUACGGAGGGGGCGAGCGUUGUUCGGAGUGACUGGGCGUAAAGAGCACGUAGGCGGUGUUGUAAGUCAUUAGUCAAAGACUAGAGCUCAACUUUAGUAAGGCUAGUGAUACUAUAAUACUAGAGUAUCAGAGAGGAUUGCAGAAUUCCUGGUGUAGCGGUGAAAUGCGUAGAUAUCAGGAGGAAUACCGUUAGCGAAGGCGGCAAUCUGGCUGGAAACUGACGCUGAGGUGCGAAAGCGUGGGUAGCAAACAGGAUUAGAUACCCUGGUAGUCCACGCUGUAAACGAUGGAUGCUANGUGUUGGGCUUUUAAGUUCAGUGCCGCAGCAAANGCGA